GAGCCCAGACCGCCAGCUAAGGUCCCCAAAUAUACACUAAGUGGAGAAGGAUGUGGGGGCACACAGACAGCCAGGAGGUUGGCUUAGAAGCAGCCAUCCUUAAAGAAAGCGUAAUAGCUCACUGGUCAAGUGAACCUGCGCCGAAAAUGUAACGGGGCUCAAGUGUAUUACCGAAGCUGCGGAUGGCACUCAGGACUGCGGUCCUGAGGUCGUGGUAGGCGAGCAUUCCAUGGGCGGCGAAAGUCCGACGGGAACGACGGAUGGAGCGCAUGGAAGAGCUUAUGCAGGCUUGAGUAGCGAUAAAACAGGUGAAAAACCUGUUCGCCGUAAGCCCCAAGGGUUCCUGGGUCAAGUUCAUCUUCCCAGGGUUAGUCGGUCCCUAAGGCGAGGCCGAAAGGCGUAGCUGAUGGGAAGCAGGUUAAUAUUCCUGCACCGCCUUGGACAGUUUCCCAUAGGGGGGACGGAGAAACGUAGCCGAGCCGGGUAAUGGAUACCGGUUCAAACCUGUAGGGGAGU
rnacentral:rRNA from 1 species